GCUGAGGUAAACAGUGUUGACAGCUGAGAACUAAACAGACCAGACCAGACCAGACUACCAGACACACCACAGCUCGCUGCUCGCUCUUCUUCACACACCGCAGUCUGACCAUGCUAUAUAAGUUCGGAGGGGGACUAUGUUCGUGAUUCAGAUGCAGCCAGAAAUCAGUUCAGAGGGAACUCUGCCUCUCCUGCUCGUCCUCGUCCACGCUCUUGGGGAGAAGUUCCUGGUUCCUGGGUACAGCUGACAAACGCCUACAAGCAGACAUGAACAGGGAGAAGAUGGUCUGCAGCAUCCUGCUGCUCAUCAUCCUGACCUCCUGUGUCUCUGGAACAUUUGUAGUGAAUGUGACCCAGACCUCCUA